AACGCAUCUUGCGCUCAAUGGUAUUCCAUUGAGCACGCCUGUUUCAGUAUCAAUAACACCCCACAUCAAUAACUUGUUUGUUGAAUGGAACUGAGAGUCUAUCGGUCUAUUUUUUAGACUGAACUCUUUAAAACUAUUAGGCCUGAACUAUUGUUCUUUUUCGCCUGAACAUUUUUUUAAUAUAAAGGAAUGCUCUAGUAAUUAAGACUAUCUUCUGGGGCCUCCCAAAUAAAACUCUUUUAAACUUGAUCUGAAAUCAGGCGGGAUUACCCGCUGAACUUAA
rnacentral:misc_RNA from 1 species